AUUGAACGCUGGCGGCAGGCCUAACACAUGCAAGUCGAGCGAGCGGCGGACGGGUGAGUAAUGUCUGGGAAACUGCCUGAUGGGGGGGGCUAACUCCUGGAAGCGCUAGAACAUACCGCAUACGCUCAGAUGUGGGCCGGUGGGAAUAGCUAGUAGGUGGGGUAACGACUCACCUAGGCGACGAUCCCUAGAUGGUGUGGGAGGAUGACCAGCCACACGGGAACUGAGACACGGUCCAGACUCCUACGGGAGGCAGCAGUGGGGAAUAUUGGACAAUGGGCGCAAGCCUGAUGCAGCCAUGCCGCGUGUGUGAAGAAGGCCUUCGGGUUGUAAAGCACUUUCAGCGGGGAGGCGUUACCCGCAGAAGAAGCACCGGCUAACUCCGUGCCAGCAGCCGCGGUAAUUC
rnacentral:rRNA from 1 species